AAAAGGAGCUGUUUCAGGGUGCGAACAUUUUUCAUUUCUGAAAGAAUCACAAAUACGAGAUGUGAUUCCAGCCAGUUCUGAGCGUGUGUGCUUAACGGAACUAUGCCGAAGAGAUCAAGACACUGAAUCUACAUUCAACAACGACCACUGGAAACAGCAGCUUCGUGUCACCCGCAUGAGAGGGCGGUGCAGACAUUUUAUCUUGCCCGGGAGCUUGGAAAAGAACUCAGUGCACAAUACUAUCUGUUACACAUGGAUACCAGCAAUAAUACACGGGGGGCUCCGGCAUAAGAGACAGCAAGCUCUGUGCUCAUCUGCGUUCUGAGUCUCUUCCUGGAAUGGAGUUUCUGCUCACGCUGUAGCCACCGUCAGCAAUUAAAACAAAGGUGACGUGCAGAAGCCAGGGCCCUUCAUCAUGUUACUAUGGACUUGGCCCAAGAGUUGCAGAAGCCGAAGGAGGAUCCAGAGGAAAGUUGAGCAUUUGCAGGCCCAGCCCCUGCCUCAUGCCAGGGAGGAUGGAUCUUUGACUUUAAAAGAGAAAUUAGAACCCACAGCUGCACAUCUAGGUCUAAAGAUGCUGAAGAAGAUUAAACUGACAUAUCAGAGAGUUCUCUGACUCAUGGAAGAGAGGCAUCUACUCCAAGAAACUAAGCAAAAUUGUUAAUAAGAAUUGAAAAUAUGAAAAAGCUACCUUUCCCUCAGCUUUAUAGAUGUUAAAAAUUUACCUUAUGGUGUCUUAUAAAACAGAACUUUUGCAAUAGUAUUAUGGUGCCAGUAAAGUUGUGGCAUCAUUUUCAGACCAAUCAUUCAGAGUUUAAAGGAAAAGGAACUGAAUAUUUUAUACAUAGAAAAAAUUAUUUUUUUGUGUGUGUGUGGUGAGGAAGAUUGUCCCUGAGCUAACAUCUGUGCCAAUAUUCCUCUAUUUUGUAUGUGGGCCACCACCACAGCGUGACUUGAUGAGUGUUGUGUAGGUGUCCACCUGGGAUCCAAACCCAUGAACCCCGGGCUGCAGAAGUGAAGCACAUGAACUUAACCCCUAUGCCACUGGGCCAGCCCCUGGAAAAGUGAACUUUUAAUGACAAAAAUGGUUCACUACUUCACAGACCAGAAAUGAAAACAUCACUAAAGCAAUAAAGCACUUUACAGGUUAAGUUAUAUUUUGCGUUGAACAGAGACAUGCACACGAUACUUGAAAGCCUAACAAAGCCUUGUAGAGUUGACACUGCUGAAUACCUGUCAAUUUCCAACUAUACAGUUGUUUGUUGAAUUAAAAACUUAACUACAAACAUGAAGACUGAGUUUAUAUCUGCU
rnacentral:lncRNA from 1 species